AGGUCCCCUGUGAAGUUAAUUACUGGAGUCUCUCAGAGAAAUACUACAGACCAAGAAUUCUCAGACUUUUCUGGAAACCCUGUGGAUUCACUUUCACUGAAAACAGCAUAAGCUUGGUCCAGCAGGCUUCAUGACAGGGGUGGGUGUAGGUGAUAACAUCAGUAAUUCAAGUGGAAGUUCUCAGUGGGACUCUCCUUGAGUACAAAGAAGAUUAACAGUCCUCAGAGACACGCUUUUCAGAUGAUUCUCUCUUAAGAUGAUUAACCUGAGAGCUCAGGAAAAUUCCGUUUAUUACUGUGAGGGA